GAGUGCAUCCUUUAUGUUUUGCUAGUUUCCUCUUAGAAACUACAAAGAUCUUCCUUAAAUAGUGUUGCAAUGGGAAUUAAUGCAAGGGAACAAGAGUGACAGGCAUGCCCAUGUGGCCAUGAGACACAGAACCCCCAAGAAUCGUUUCUGAGUGGACAGGGUGAAGGUUCUGAAGCUGUUAAAGACAGAGUUAAGCCCAGCUGAUGUUAGAGUUAGCUGGCAAACCUUCUCUCUCUCCUGGUCUCCAUUGGACUUUGGACUGACAGAUCUACUAUCAAGAGAAAGCAGAAGUCUUCCCACUUCCUUUAGCUGAACUAAUAUAGAGGAAGACCUCAGCCAUACUCCGAACCUCAACAACCUCCUGUCAGGACUUGUUUAGGACCAAUGACAUCACAGAGUGAUGUCUUGACUGAUGAGUGAAUUGGAUUUAAAUGAGGCAGAGUUACACAAAAUCAACAGCCUUGCUUUCUCUUCCAGUGUCAUUGUAGUGCAGUGGCAAGAUAAAAAGUCAACAUGGUUGGUACUCCCAUACACAUUUGGAUUCCAGAAAGAUUCACCUGUCCCUGCCAUGAUUCCCAUCCCAACAACAAGCUUGGGAGAAUGCAGAUACAGAGACUGUGCUAAAACAACAAGAUGCUCUACCAACUUGAUAACAAAUUGAGACACUUGCAGCCCAAGCAAAACAAAGAACAAGAAAGAAUUUACACCUCUUGAUUGUACUGAUGCCUCAUUUCUUGCCAUGUCAACCCUUUUAUCUAUACCCUCUGGCAUUUCUGCCACUGAAAGUCUCUCAUCUCCCAUUACUCAUUUUUCCUUAUGGAAACUCAUUGCUUCUCUCUGCCCUCCUGUGUUACUCCACUCUAGUGGCAAAAAUGAUUUAAAAUACAUUCAAGCUUGCACAUUGAUUGUACAGUGUAUUUUCUCC
rnacentral:lncRNA from 1 species